ensembl:lncRNA
CGACCUUUGAACAUGUGAGCUGAUUUACCGCCGUGCUGACCUGUCAGGUGGUUCAAUCAGUGUCAGUCCAACCCCUCAUUAAGCCCACUGAGGGUCCGGUGGACCCCUGGCCGCUGACAGCUUUACGUCAGGAUGUGUCACUGCCGCGCGCCUUUCACAUUCUUUCACAAGGCGUGAAAAUUGAAAACAACUCUGUAUAUCAAUCUGAGUGUUUGAAAGGCACGUUUGAGUACGAGCGUGUGAGAGAAUCAUCACAGAACCGACAUGCAAAUGCAAAACAUGCUGGCCAGAUGUGUCAGGGGUCGUUCCCGGACCCUGUGGCAGGGGCCCCGUACCCCUUCCUCCAGAGGGUCUCUGAGCUGGCGGCUCUGGAGGGGGACACGGCCCGGCAGGAGAAGCUGGUGAAGAUGACUAAGAACAGAAAGCAGGAGUCCUGAUGAGCCCACAACAUCAUCUCAGAGGAAACCCCUAGAGUAGAACCACCUCGUCUUCGAGGGGACCUCAUCGGUGAAUCCACGGGUCCAGGAUCCAAACAUCUCCCAUGGUGCCAAAGUUAUACAGACUUUUAUCGGUUGCGUCAGUUUCCUGCGUCAGUGUAUUGAUUUAUACUUUCUGUUCCUCGAUAGUGUUUGCCGACAACAGUGAAGUCUGCUCUUUAUUUCAGGUAUAAGUUGUCAGUAUUUCCCUUCUGUUAUCUAAAAUUGUUCUUGAUCAUUCUUGCGCAUCCCCUGAAAGAAAUAGCACAUAUUUACUUCAAAACUGUCUGUGUAUCAGUAUCUACAUUGGAUUGCAAGUCUGGCACAUCAACAGACUGGCUUUUCUAUCCCAUUUUGGCCCAGUUAGCAUUUUGGGCCAAAAUGCUAACUGGCUUUCCAGUAUUUGGCAUUUAUUCACAUUGAAACAAUAAAUGUAUUGUGGAGUUUUUCUGAGG